GGCCCUAUGGCCUAAUGGAUAAGGCGCUUCACCUCGGAUGAAGAAAUUCCAGGUUCGAGUCCUGGUAGGGUCG
rfam:Emiliania huxleyi CCMP1516 EMIHTscaffold_290_Cont6426, whole genome shotgun sequence.